UCAUUCGGAUUCGCCAUCAUACGUCCAACCGUGCAUUUUAUAUGCAUAUAUAUGCAUCACGAGCCACGGUUGGGCUGUAUGAUGGCGAUACCGAUUGG
rnacentral:pre_miRNA from 1 species